GACGAACGCUGGCGGCGUGCCUAAUACAUGCAAGUUGAGCGCUGAAGGUUGGUACUUGUACCGACUGGAUGAGCAGCGAACGGGUGAGUAACGCGUGGGGAAUCUGCCUUUGAGCGGGGGACAACAUUUGGAAACGAAUGCUAAUACCGCAUAAAAACUUUAAACACAAGUUUUAAGUUUGAAAGAUGCAAUUGCAUCACUCAAAGAUGAUCCCGCGUUGUAUUAGCUAGUUGGUGAGGUAAAGGCUCACCAAGGCGAUGAUACAUAGCCGACCUGAGAGGGUGAUCGGCCACAUUGGGAAUGAGACAAGGCCCAAACUCCUACGGGAGGCAGCAGUUGGGAAUCUUCGGCAAUGGACGAAAGGCUGACCGAGCAACGCCGCGUGAGUGAAGAAGGUUUUCGGAUCGUAAAACUCUGUUGGUAGAGAAGAACGUUGGUGAGAGUGGAAAGCUCAUCAAGUGACGGUAACUACCCAGAAAGGGACGGCUAACUACGUG
rnacentral:rRNA from 1 species